rnacentral:rRNA from 1 species
GAUGAACGCUGGCGGCGUGCCUAAUACAUGCAAGUCGAGCGAACGGACGAGAAGCUUGCUUCUUUGAUGUUAGCGGCGGACGGGUGAGUAACACGUGGAUAACCUACCUAUAAGACUGGGAUAACUUCGGGAAACCGGAGCUAAUACCGGAUAAUAUUUUGAACCGCAUGGUUCAAUAGUGAAAGACGGUCUUGCUGUCACUUAUAGAUGGAUCCGCGCGGCAUUAGCUAGUUGGUAAGGUAACGGCUUACCAAGGCAACGAUGCGUAGCCGACCUGAGAGGUUGAUCGGCAAACCUGAACUUGAGCACGGGCCCAGCUCCCACGGGAGGGCAGAAGUGGGAAAUCUCCGGAAAUGGGCGAAAGCCUACCGGAGAAACGCGGCGGAGUUAUUGAAGGCUUUCGGACCGUAAACCCCUGUUAUAGGGAAGAACAUACGUGUAAGUAACUGUGCACAUCUUGACGGUACCUAAUCAGAAAGCCACGGCUAACUACGUG